GAUGAACGCUAGCGACAGGCUUAACACAUGCAAGUCGAGGGGCAGCAGGGGAGUAGCAAUACUCCCGCUGGCGACCGGCGCACGGGUGAGUAACACGUAUGCAACCUGCCCUUGUCAGGGGGAUAAGCGGAAGAAAUUCCGUCUAAUACCGCAUAACGCUGCGGGGAGACAUCUCCCUGCAGCCAAAGAUUUAUCGGACAAGGAUGGGCAUGCGGCGCAUUAGCUUGUUGGCGGGGUAACGGCCCACCAAGGCGACGAUGCGUAGGGGUUCUGAGAGGAAGGUCCCCCACACUGGUACUGAGACACGGACCAGACUCCUACGGGAGGCAGCAGUGAGGAAUAUUGGUCAAUGGCCGGGAGGCUGAACCAGCCAAGUCGCGUGAGGGAAGACGGUCCUAUGGAUUGUAAACCUCUUUAGUCAGGGAGCAAAAACUGCCACGCGUGGCAGGAUGAGAGUACCUGAAGAAAAAGCAUCGGCUAACUCCGUGCCAGCAGCCGCGGUAAUACGGAGGAUGCGAGCGUUAUCCGGAUUUAUUGGGUUUAAAGGGUGCGUAGGCGGACAGUUAAGUCAGCGGUAAAAUUGAGAGGCUCAACCUCUUCCCGCCGUUGAAACUGAUUGUCUUGAGUGGGCGAGAAGUAUGCGGAAUGCGUGGCGUAGCGGUGAAAUGCAUAGAUAUCACGCAGAACUCCGAUUGCGAAGGCAGCAUACCGGCGCCCAACUGACGCUGAAGCACGAAAGCGUGGGUAUCGAACAGGAUUAGAUACCCUGGUAGUCCACGCAGUAAACGAUGAAUACUAAUUGUUCGGGUCGAGUGAGAUCUGAGUGAUACAGCGAAAGCGUUAAGUAUUCCACCUGGGGAGUACGCCGGCAACGGUGAAACUCAAAGGAAUUGACGGGGGCCCGCACAAGCGGAGGAACAUGUGGUUUAAUUCGAUGAUACGCGAGGAACCUUACCCGGGCUCAAACGACACAGGAAUGAUCUGAGAAAUCAGGCAGUCCUUCGGGACCUGUGUCGAGGUGCUGCAUGGUUGUCGUCAGCUCGUGCCGUGAGGUGUCGGCUUAAGUGCCAUAACGAGCGCAACCCCCAUCGACAGUUGCCAGCAGGUCAAGCUGGGCACUCUGUCGAGACUGCCGGCGCAAGCUGUGAGGAAGGCGGGGAUGACGUCAAAUCAGCACGGCCCUUACGUCCGGGGCGACACACGUGUUACAAUGGCAGGUACAGCGGGAAGCCACCUGGCGACAGGGAGCGGAACCCGAAAGCCUGUCUCAGUUCGGAUUGGAGUCUGCAACUCGACUCCAUGAAGCUGGAUUCGCUAGUAAUCGCGCAUCAGCCACGGCGCGGUGAAUACGUUCCCGGGCCU
rnacentral:rRNA from 1 species